rnacentral:misc_RNA from 1 species
GACUGCACGGGCAAGAGAAGCAGAAUGUUGUGGAGAAAAAUUCUUAAAUGCAACAGAUAAGGUCUGACCCAUAGAAACAGAAAGUGGCAAGGCAGGCAAAGCGAACAGCUGCAGAACAGCUUCAAUUCCUUUCUUCUCAACAAAAAUACGGCAUGUAUCAGAAUUCUGAAGAAUUGUUUCAAGCAGACGAGCAGCAUUGCUUAUACAUUCAGGAAGAAAAGACUCUAUGUUUGGUAGCAAAGAAUCAGAAGAUGGUUCAACAUGCUCCAAACUUUUAGCCUUUUGUGAGUCUUGCUCGGGCAAAACCACACCCCUAUCCUCACCUUCUGUUUCCAUCGGAACAGGGUUAGAAGAACUAGGACAGU